GAUGUACUUUGUAUCUUCUUGGUCGAAUGCACUUAUUGUAAGUCGCUUUGGAUAAAAGCGUCAGCUAAAUGCAAUGUAAUGUCUUGUGUCUUAAAGUGGUUGUAAAGACAAGAAAAGCACUAAACUAAAACAACUAAACAUGGGUAUAACAUGGGCCAAGGAAAAAGCCAAAACAUUUUAAACUGAUUGUAAUCAUGGACCAGAUACACUCGUCUUUUUUCAUUUUUGUUGAAAGUGCAUGCAUGGCCCGUGGUGGAGGUUAAUGCCCUUUGUGUACCCUUUAAGAUUGCUGGUGUAAUAGUUUGUGUUACUCACGGUGUCGUGGACAGCAGCAGGUUUCAGGGCAGCAGCAGCAGCUGACGUAGCAGCAGCAGGAGUGAGGACAACACUGGCACCAGCAGAUCCCCAUCAACAAGAGGAACAAGACGCUGCCCAGGACUACAGAUCCCACAAACACCCACUCUGGAAAACAGACACACAAAGAGGAAGAAAGGGAGAGGAAACUAAAAAAGGAAACUAUAGGAGAACUGGAGGGAGCUUUGCAUUUCUCUUAUCCAUCAUCACAUCUUGAAAGCAUCCCGACCCUAACAACACAUUUCCUCAGGGUGUGCCCAAAAGCAAAAUCCACUCCAAACCCCUCGCUAAGUCAACACAUAUUCCCUGUGGAGUUCAAACCGUGACCAGAGGAAACAGAUAAAAGCUAUCAUCAGCAAUGACGACUUUACAGUAGUAAACUCCACUGUCGCCCCACUGCAGCUCCCCGAUACGCAGGUCUGCUUCUGCACGGAGACAGAGUAAGGUUUGAUGUAAUAAGUAAAAGUGCUCAGCCAGCGUCAUGGAGGCCCCCUGCGCCGAGGCCACGACCCGGACUGUGCGCCCGCUGUCGGAGCACUCGAGGUGGGACGAGGGGCCGAGCUCGGAGCCCUGGACGCCCAGUUUCUCCGGCAGG